GCCCCAUAUCUAGCUCUCCUGUCACACACCAACAUACCAAAAAUUCCCCAACAAAACAUUUACUUAGUUUAGUAGAGGUGAUCAAAAAACCCAUAGAAGCUUUAGAUACUGUACCGCAAGGGAUUAAUGAAAUAGAAAUGAAAUAAAAACAAAGCACAUCAAAGCAGAGAUUAACUCUCGUACCUUUUGCAUCAUGGUCUAGCUAGCCUUAAUCAAGCAAAAUGCUUCUUACAGUUUGACCCCCCGAAACUAAGUGAGCUACCUCAGAACAGCUUAUAGAGCCAACCCAUCUCUGUUGCAAAAGAGCGGGAAGAUUCCUAGGUAGCGGCGAAAAACCUAUCGAACUUAGAGAUAGCUGGUUAUUCAAGAAACGGAUUUUAGUCCAACCUAAAGCACCACCCACCACAAACUAUCAAUUUUAUGCUUUAGCGCCACUCAAAUAAGGUACAGCUUAUUUGAGCCAGGAUACAACCUCACAUCCAGGGUAAUGUUUUACUAAAUAAUCAAGUUGGCCUAAAAGCAGCCACCUUUCAAAAAGCGUCAAAGCUUAAUUAUCUUUAUGACCAAUACCUAUAAACAACCAGACCCCCCCCCCCCCAUUGAAUGACUCCAUAACAUAUGGAAACCCUAAUGCUAGAACAAGUAACAAGAAGAAGACCUUCUCUAAAUGUAAGUGUAAACCCCAAUGAACAAAUCACCGGAACUCACCGCCAAUGAACCCAAAACGCUAACACCACUAAAACCGCGCUAUACAAAGCGUCAACCUUACACAAGAACAUUCCUAUGAAAGAUUAAAAAAACCGGAAGGAACUCGGCAAACUCAGCCCCGCCUGUUUACCAAAAACAUCGCCUCCUGCUCAAAAAUAGGAGGUCCAGCCUGCCCAAUGAUUAUUUAAAUGGCCGCGGUACCCUAACCGUGCAAAGGUAGCGUAAUCACUUGUCUACUAAAUAUAGACCUGUAUGAACGGCACCACGAGGGCCACACUGUCUCCCCCCUUUAAUCAGUAAAACUGAUCCCCCCGUGAAGAAGCGGGGAUUCAAAUACAAGACGAGAAGACCCCAUGGAGCUUUAAACCAAGAGUCAACUGCUAAAUUUUAUAUCAUAAAUACCUCAAUCAUGACUCAAAGUUUUCGGUUGGGGCGACCGCGGAGCAUAACAAAACCUCCACGAUGAAAGAACAUAAAAUUCUUACCCAAGAACCACACCACAAAGGACCACAAAUGUGACAUCCAUUGACCCAAAAAGCUUGAUCAACGAACCUAGUUACCCUGGGGAUAACAGCGCAAUCCAUUUCAAGAGCCCAUAUCGACAAAUGGGUUUACGACCUCGAUGUUGGAUCGGGGUAUCCCAGUGGUGCAACCGCUACUAAAGGUUCGUUUGUUCAACGAUUAAAACCCCACGUGAUCUGAGUUCAGACCGGAGCAAUCCAGGUCGGUUUCUAUCUAUAAAGAGCUUGCCCUAGUACGAAAGGACCGAGCAAACAUGGCCAAUAAACUAAUAAGCCAUCACUAAACUAAUGCCACCAACUCAAUUAGUUAUAUCUAUAAUCUACACCUAGACAAGGUAC
rnacentral:rRNA from 1 species